CUCCCCCGCUGCCAGUUACGAAAUCGGUCAAGCGGGGCAGGGUGAGGUGGGGGGAGAGAUAGUAAAUAUAGGGGGCUCCAGAAUUAUGCUUUAUUUAGAUACACAUACACGCCCCCCCCCCGAGAAAAACGGAGGAGGUUAGAUUGGAUAACGUAACACACACAUCCUUUCUCCCCCCCCCCCCCGCACACACCCCCGUCGCUUCUUCCUCGGGGGAGGAAGAAAAAGAAAGAAAAGAGUCCCGAGGCCGUUUGGCCGGUGGCGUGUGGGGGAGGGGCGGCUGGCGGGCUGGCUCGGGCGGACCCCCCUCGGAACGCGUCCCACAAGCCGCCGCCGCCACCGGGCGGGCAGCUCCUCGCGCUGGCUGCCAGGAACAGCGACUAUCCAAGGAGGGAGAGCAAGAGAGUGGACAGCUGGCCUGGUGCCAUGAGUGCCCAGGGCCUUGUUGGCAGGGCACGGGGCAGACAGAUGCCUGUUAGCUCUGCCACAGCUGAGAGGAGAUUUUCACACACACGGAGGACUGAGAGUAUGUUUCUACCUCCCUUCCGGUCAGGGCUCUAGGACUGAGCUCCAGCCCAGCCACACCUGCAACAUCAUUUUCUACAUGCCUUCAAGAGGAGCAUCUUCAUCCCAGAAGCUGUGACUUCACAUUUUCCUCCCUCCAGGGCAGAGCCCAAGAGGCACCAUCCUUGCCAUAUUUGGGACUGAGCUCAGAUUGUGAGACCCUUGGGAACAGGACCAUUUAAACAUCUAAACAGCCAUUCCAAGCCUGUGGGAUAGAGUAGAAUAUAAGUCAGACAGAAAUCAAGAUGCUUCAAAGCAGUGUCCUGCAAUUAAAAUUGCUGGACAGGCCGGGGUCACCCCAGAGUCAUCACCUGACUCACAUUCUUGAUCCUCCAUGCAGAUGCCUUCUUGCUUGAAUAUGUGCAAUGGCCGUGGAUUUAUCUCUUUCCCAGCCCGUUUCUGCAUAGCCAUGCUGGCAGAAUCACGAAGAAGCAGGAAAUGGGCUGAAUGGAGCACAUUAACAAAAGAUGAGUUCACAGGACCGACGGCUGGUCUGGAAGUGGGGUGAAUUUAUUUUAUAUACCUCCUCACUCCAAAGGCUCUAUGCAGUUCACAAACCACCUAGAGUUGCAAUAUGUCAGGGCAUGAGGACAGGCGCUCCUGGUGGGUGCAACCCCGAUCAAGGCUCCUUCUGACUUCCAUACUAAAGAUCUGGAAGUCAGGUGGAGAGUGUAGGAACCAGACUUUGGGGAGUUCAGACAUCACACCCGCCAAGAGUGCCCACUCCUGUGUCUCGACAUAUCCUUGACAUUUCCCUCAUUUCCAGACUAGCCGGUAGUCGUAUGAACCUGCUCAAUAUCACAAAACAUCAAGAUAAAAAUAGCUUGUGGGGGGUGGGGUGCCUGAGAGCACUGUUGACAAGGCUGAGCGGUCCUGGUGUGGACAGCCUGUAGGCUGGCUCUUUAGAAGCAGUUUGACGAUGCCCAAGACCAGGUUGGGUUUCCUUCCUGUGCGUCUUCCUGUAACUUCAUCUCACCCUCUCUGCCCCCUAUGUUCAACCUCCCUUGCAAUGGCAGUUUUCCUGCACUGAGCAACCUGCUAGCAGUGGGGCUCAUCUCCACAUGGCAGUGGACAUCCUAGCGCAACGCUUGCAGGAGGACCUUGUGUGACUACAGGCCUGUUAUGCUGGCUACUUGUACCGAGUCUGGAGCUUGCAGUCCAGACUAGUGUUGUGCUCCCACAGCAUGCUUGCACUUGCACAGCAGUGCACAGCUGGAACCUAGGAAGCUGCCAUAUACUGAGUCAGACCAUAGGUCCAUCUAGCUUAGUAUUGUCUUCACAGACUGGCAGCAGCUUCUCCAAGGCUGCAAGCAGGAAUCUCCCUCAGCCCUAUCUUGGAUGUGCUGCCAGGGAGGGAACCUGGAACCUAGAUGCUCUUCCCAGAGCAGCUCCAUCCCGAGGGGAAUAUCUGACAGUGCCCACACAUCAAGUCUCCCAUUCAAAUGCCACCAGAGCAGACCCUGCUUAGCAAAGGGGACGAGUCCUGCUUGCUACCACCAGACCAGCUCUCCUCUCACAGCUGCAGUGUGUCUCAUUUAUUAUAAGUGGAAGCUUUGCACAAUUGUGCAAGCACAACUAUGCAGUCUUCUUGCUUUAGCACAACUUUGCUUUGUAUGCAAGCACUUUGUUAGUUAGGAGGUCAGCCAGUAUAUUUAGGGCCAAAGUUAUUUUGUUUCAAGCCAUACACUUGUGAGGAAGCAUACACACACACACACACACACACACACACACACACACACACACACACUCACUCACCCUUACCUUUUUUUUG